rnacentral:tmRNA from 1 species
UGUGCUGCAUGCCGAGCUUCUACUAACUCGUAAAACUGGUGGAGCACACACAAGUGCCGAAAAUGACUUUGCACUCGCUGCCUAACUGAGCGGCGACAGCUCCUUAAUGCGCGCUCGCGGGAUUAAGAGGGCUGACGACUAGCGAGCUGGUCCGAUGGCGACGCACUGGACACCUGAGGAUAAGAUUUCAUUCGGUGCUGGCGGUGAAAACCCUGUCUAUCGGUAACUUCACUGCGAGACUAAACGAUAGACUAAGCAUGUAGAGGCCUUAUGAGUCUCUUUCUCGGACCCGGGUUCGAUUCCCGGCGCCUCCACCA